UACGUAGGGGGCAAGCGUUGUCCGGAUUAUUGGGUCGUAAAGCGCGUGUAGGUGGCCAAGUAGGUCCGCUGUGAAAACUUGAGGCUCAACCUCAAGCUGUCGGUGGAAACCCCUUGGCUAGAGUCCGGAAGAGGAGAGUGGAAUUCCUGGUGUAGCGGUGAAAUGCGCAGAUAUCAGGAAGAACACCAAUGGCGAAGGCAGCUCUCUGGGACGGUACUGACACUGAGACGCGAAAGCGUGGGGAGCGAACAGG
rnacentral:rRNA from 1 species